UACGUAGGCAGCAAGCGUUGUUCGGAGUUACUGGGCGUAAAGAGUGUGUAGGCGGUUCGCUAAGUUUGGUGUGAAAUCUCCCGGCUUAACUGGGAGGGUGCGCCGAAUACUGGCGGGCUAGAGUGUGGGAGAGGGAAGCGGAAUUCCUGGUGUAGCGGUGAAAUGCGUAGAUAUCAGGAGGAACACCGGUGGCGAAGGCGGGUCUCUGGGCCGAUACUGACGCUGAGGAGCGAAAGCGUGGGGAGCGAACAGG
rnacentral:rRNA from 1 species